ensembl:misc_RNA Dlx6os1 distal-less homeobox 6, opposite strand 1
AAUUUCACACCUGGAUGUGCUCACUCAACCAAGAAUAUAGAGACAGAGCCUCUGCCCUGAGACUCAGAGAAACGCUCUCCUGUGCCUCCCUCCGCUCAGUAUAGAUUUCUAGACCCUGAUCAUUGCUUAAGAGAUAUUCACCGGGG